rnacentral:rRNA from 1 species
GACAGAGGGUGCAAACGUUGUUCGGAAUUACUGGGCGUAAAGCGUGUGUAGGCGGCCAUAUAAGUCGGAUGUGAAAGCCCUGGGCUCAACCCAGGAAGUGCACUCGAUACUGUAUGGCUAGAGUACUGGAGAGGUUGGUGGAAUUCUCGGUGUAGAGGUGAAAUUCGUAGAUAUCGAGAGGAACACCGGUGGCGAAGGCGGCCAACUGGACAGAUACUGACGCUGAGACACGAAAGCGUGGGGAGCAAACAGG